rnacentral:misc_RNA from 1 species
GCGGCCCCCAAGGUAGUAAUUCAUACUCAGCCAUCCUUUACUUUGAAAAUAACAUUUAAUUCUUUUACAUUAUAUGUCGGACCACUGCAUAGUUUGGAUCAUUUUAAUCUGAUGGACCAGAGUGUCAAGUUUUAUAAAAGCUCAAGGAUUACAUUUAAAAAAGGGGAAGAUCAAAGUGUAAAUAAGCCACAUCUUGGGCGAUCCUUUAUAAUUUUCUCAGUAAAGAACCCUGAUAAUUGCUUUCAUCAUAUGGUGUCAAAAUAUCUCCAAACAAGAUAAACAUCAAUAAGAAACA